ACCUUUAAAGGAUUUAAAAAUUAAGUACUCCGAUCUACUACUGCACAAAGCUAUCUAUGAAUGAAGAAUUCUUUGAAAGAAAGAACCACUUCAUGAAGACUUGAAAACGUUGCUGCCAAGAAGAACAAAUGUUUCCUGCUCUUCAGUUCUUGACAUUUUAUCAUCUUAUCCAGCAAUUCAGUUACGCAUUUGCCCAACUCUGAGCACAGUAACCGUCCUACUGACAGCCUGCCAUGAACUGCUGAGAAACCACAAUCUAUUGUUGCUGCUCCUCAUGAACCACAGGGUCUGCAAUGAAAACUGCUUUGCACUGAGAUGAGAGCGGAGAAGAAGAAUGUGAUGAUAAUAUUUCUGUCAGUGCAAUCUCACCAGGAGAUAAGGCUUAAUUGGAAAUACCACAUGAGCAAUAAAUUCACCCACAAAAAAAUCCAACUGCACAGGCCAUCUCUCAGCCCCAACACUUAAACCCCUACACUAAUCUUCAGUACAAAGCAUAUGUGUAAAUGCAAAUAAGUAACCUGAAAAACCAUAUCCAGAUACAAACACCUAGUGAGAAAGCAAAAGUAGCACAGAUUUAAAGUAUCUCCUUAACAGUAUAAGC